rnacentral:rRNA from 1 species
UACGUAGGGUGCGAGCGUUGUCCGGAAUUAUUGGGCGUAAAGAGCUCGUAGGCGGUCUGUCGCGUCUGCUGUGAAAACCCGAGGCUCAACUCCGGAUCUGCGGUGGGUACGGGCAGACUAGAGUGAUGUAGGGGAGACUGGAAUUCCUGGUGUAGCGGUGAAAUGCGCAGAUAUCAGGAGGAACACCGAUGGCGAAGGCAGGUCUCUGGGCAUUAACUGACGCUGAGGAGCGAAAGCAUGGGGAGCGAACAGG